GACGGAGGAUGCAAGUGUUAUCCGGAAUCACUGGGCGUAAAGCGUCUGUAGGUGGUUCCAAAAGUCCACUGUUAAAGAUUGAAGCUUAACUUCAAAAAUGCCGUGGAAACUUUGAAACUUGAGUAUGAUAGGGGUAGAGGGAAUUUCCAGUGGAGCGGUGAAAUGCGUAGAUAUUGGAAAGACCACCAAUGGCGAAGGCACUCUACUGGGCCAUUACUGACACUGAGAGACGAAAGCUAGGGGAGCAAAUGGG
rnacentral:rRNA from 1 species